rnacentral:rRNA from 1 species
UACAGAGGUCCCAAGCGUUGUUCGGAUUCAUUGGGCGUAAAGGGCGCGUAGGCGGCGUGGUAAGUCACUUGUGAAAUCUCCGAGCUUAACUCGGAACGGUCAAGUGAUACUGCUGUGCUAGAGUGCAGAAGGGGCAAUCGGAAUUCUUGGUGUAGCGGUGAAAUGCGUAGAUAUCAAGAGGAACACCUGAGGUGAAGACGGGUUGCUGGGCUGACACUGACGCUGAGGCGCGAAAGCUAGGGUAGCAAACGGG